UUACUCAAAGUCAGAGUAAGCAGCAAUUCCAGUGGCAUAAUGAAGGUAAAGGCCUAUGCAUGCCAGGUAAGGCACCAUCCUGAGGUCCUCGGUUUGCAGAAGGUGCACCAACAGCCCAUCUCAACACCCCCAUAGGGAAGGUGGAACAUAACCAUAUCCGCUAAGGCCUAAAAGCUAGUGAACCAAGGCUGGGCAGGGAAAAGCCAGUGGAAAGUCUGCUGGAGGUCCAUGGCAAUUUGUAUGCACAAAUUAGUCAUUCAGCCUGAGCACAGGAGCAAAAGACUUGUUGAGCUAUAUAGGAGCUGG
rnacentral:ncRNA from 1 species